rnacentral:tRNA from 1 species
UGGGGAAUCGUCUAACGGCAGGACAGCGGACUCUGACUCCGUUAAUCUAGGUUCGAAUCCUAGUUCCCCAGCCA